rnacentral:rRNA from 1 species
UAAUACGUAGGGGGCAAGCGUUGUCCGGAAUUAUUGGGCGUAAAGAGCGUGUAGGCGGUCCGAUAAGUCGGCUGUGAAAGUCAAGGGCUCAACCCUUGAAUGCCGGCCGAUACUGUCGGGCUAGAGUCCGGAAGAGGCGAGUGGAAUUCCCGGUGUAGCGGUGAAAUGCGCAGAUAUCGGGAGGAACACCAAUGGCGAAGGCAGCUCGCUGGGACGGUACUGACGCUGAGACGCGAAAGCGUGGGGAGCAAACAGGAUUAGAUACCCUGGUAGUCCACGCCGUAAACGAUGGACACUAGAUGUGGGGGGUGUCGACUCCCCCCGUGUCGAAGCUAACGCAUUAAGUGUCCCGCCUGGGGAGUACGGCCGCAAGGCUA